rnacentral:lncRNA from 13 species
GUCCAUCAAAAGGAUUCAACUGGUGCAAAAAUGAGUGACUUCUGGACCUCUCUUUAUGAUUGCUUUGAGAACUACUGCAUCUAAAAGCGGACUACAAUGGUCAGCACUCGGCAUCAAUGGAGCAAUAUCCCUUCCUUCGUGAAGCUAAUGUUUCAGUGGGAGAGCAGGUGGUGAUCCUUCUGUAAAGCAGGACUCUGACUAAUAUAAAGACAAGU